rnacentral:rRNA from 1 species
AGUGAACGCUGGCGGUAGGCCUAACACAUGCAAGUCGAACGGCAGCACAGUAAGAGCUUGCUCUUACGGGUGGCGAGUGGCGGACGGGUGAGGAAUACAUCGGAAUCUACUUUUUCGUGGGGGAUAACGUAGGGAAACUUACGCUAAUACCGCAUACGACCUACGGGUGAAAGCAGGGGAUCUUCGGACCUUGCGCGAUUGAAUGAGCCGAUGUCGGAUUAGCUAGUUGGCGGGGUAAAGGCCCACCAAGGCGACGAUCCGUAGCUGGUCUGAGAGGAGGAUCAGCCACAUUGGAACGGGGACACGGUCCAGACUCCUACGGGAGGCAGCAGUGGGGAAUAUUGGACAAUGGGCGCAAGCCUGAUCCAGCCAUACCGCGUGGGUGAAGAAGGCCUUCGGGUUGUAAAGCCCUUUUGUUGGGAAAGAAAAGCAGCAGGUUAAUACCCCGCUGUUCUGACGGUACCCAAAGAAUAAGCACCGGCUAACUUCGUG